CAGUAGCCGCGGUAAUACGGAGGGCGCGAGCGUUACCCGGAUUUACUGGGCGUAAAGGGCGUGUAGGCGGCCUGGGGCGUCCCAUGUGAAAGGCCACGGCUCAACCGUGGAGGAGCGUGGGAUACGCUCAGGCUAGAGGGUGGGAGAGGGUGGUGGAAUUCCCGGAGUAGCGGUGAAAUGCGCAGAUACCGGGAGGAACGCCGAUGGCGAAGGCAGCCACCUGGUCCACUUCUGACGCUGAGGCGCGAAAGCGUGGGGAGCAAACCGGAUUAGAUACCCGUGUAGUCCCUGUCUCUUAUAC
rnacentral:rRNA from 1 species